GAAGUGCUGCAGGACUGUAAGGUGAGCGGAUCCGGGACAGGAAGACGACGGUCGGAAGCUUGCCGGAACCUGGCGACAGGCAUCUGGGGCUUCCCUCUUAGGCGGAUGGGGGUCCACAGGGCACAACGAAAACUUGCGUUUCAAAAAAGUAAAUGGAGUCAACAUGUAUAGAGCGUUCACCUUGUUAGAGGUGCCCACGUCCUGCCCUAGAGGAGUUAAGGUUCGAGUUUCCGACAAAAUUCGUCAGGCAGAAGAUGCUGAUGAAGUUAUGGGUAAAUACCUAUCAGAAAAAUUAAAGUUGAAAGACCAAUGGCUUGGAGUCUGGAAGACUAAUCCCAGUGUAUUCUUUGUGAAAUAUGAAGAAGCUUCUAUCCCUUUUGUUGGUAUACUGGUUGAGGUAACUUGUGAGCCAUACCAAGACUCAUCAUCUCGUUUCAAAGUUACCGUUUCUGUUGCUGAGCCCUUUUCUUCCAACAUUGCAAAUAUUCCAAGAGAUUUGGUUGAUGAGAUUUUGGAGGAACUGGAACACAGUGUGCCUCUUUUGGAAGUGUAUCCUGUUGAGGGACAAGAUACUGAUAUACAUGAUAUUGCUUUGGCCUUGGAAGUUGUCAGGUUUUUUUAUGACUUUCUUUGGAGAGACUGGGAUGAUGAAGAAAGUUGUGAGAAUUAUACUGCACUUAUUGAAGAAAGAA
rnacentral:sRNA from 1 species